rnacentral:rRNA from 1 species
UACAGGGGGGGCAAGCGUUGUUCGGAAUCACUGGGCUUAAAGGGCGCGUAGGCGGGCGGUCAAGUCAGAGGUGAAAUCCCACGGCUCAACCGUGGAAGUGCCCCUGAUACUGAUCGCCUCGAGGGAGGUAGGGGCGUGCGGAACUUCCGGUGGAGCGGUGAAAUGCGUAGAUAUCGGAAGGAACACCGAUGGCGAAAGCAGCGCGCUGGACCUUUACUGACGCUGAGGCGCGAAAGCCAGGGGAGCAAACGGG